AUUUUGAAUUACCACGAAAUAAAAUGAUUCAUCUGUUUGAAUAAUGACCGAAAUAUUGGAUAUUGUGUGUGAAAGAGAAGAAAAGAAUUAUAUAUAUAUAGAUGCCGAUGGUUGGAUACAUGAAGAA
rnacentral:sRNA from 1 species